rnacentral:rRNA from 1 species
AUUGAACGCUGGCGGCAGGCCUAACACAUGCAAGUCGAACGGUAACAGGAAGAAGCUUGCUUCUUUGCUGACGAGUGGCGGACGGGUGAGUAAUGUCUGGGAAACUGCCUGAUGGAGGGGGAUAACUACUGGAAACGGUAGCUAAUACCGCAUAACGUCGCAAGACCAAAGAGGGGGACCUUCGGGCCUCUUGCCAUCGGCUGUGCCCAGAUGGGAUUAGCUAGUAGGGGGGGUAACGGCUCACCCAGGCGACGAUCCCUAGCUGGUCUGAGAGGAUGACCAGCCACACUGGAGCUGAGACACGGUCCAGACGCCUACGGGAAGCAGCAGUGGGGAAUAGUGCACAAUGGGCGCAAGCCUGAUGCAGCCAUGCCGCGUGUAUGAAGAAGGCCUUCGGGUUGUAAAGUACUUUCAGCGGGGAGGAAGGGAGUAAAGUUAAUACCUUUGCUCAUUGACGUUACCCGCAGAAGAAGCACCGGCUAACUCCGUG